GAUCAGGGAGGGAAAAGAUGGUGGAAAAACCAUUAUGACGGUACCUAAUGAAUAAGCCCCGGCUAACAAUGUGCCAGGGGGCGCGGUAAUACAUAGGGGGCAAGCNGUUAUCCGGAAUUAUUGGGCGUAAAGGGUGCGUAGGCGGUUAAAUAAGUUUAUGGUCUAAGUGCAACGCUCAACGUUGUGAUGCUAUAAAAACUGUUUAGCUAGAGUCGGAUAGAGGCAAGUGGAAUUCCGUGUGUAGUGGUAAAAUGCGUAAGUAUACGGAGGAACACCAGAAGCGAAGGCGGCUUGCUGGGUCUUAACUGACGCUGAGGCACGAAAGCGUGGGGAGCAAACAGGAUUAGAUACCCUGGUAGUCCACGCCCUAAACGAUGAGUACUAAACGUUGGAUAAAACCAGUGUUAAGUUAACACAUUAAGUACUCCGCCUGAGUAGUACGUACGCAAGUAUGAAACUUAAAGGAAUUGACGGGACUCCCGCACAAGCGGUGGAUCAUGUUGUUUAAUUCGAAGGUACCCGAAAAACCUCACCAGGUCUUGACAUGCUUUUGCAAAGCUGUAGAAAUACAGUGGAGGUUAUCAGAAGCACAGGUGGUGCAUGGUUGUCGUCAGCUCGUGUCGUGAGAUGUUGGGUUAAGUCCCGCAACGAGCGCAACCCUUGUUGUUAAUUGCCAUCAUUAAGUUGGGGACUUUAACAAGACUGCCAAUGAUAAAAUGGAGGAAGGUGGGGACGACGUCAAAUCAUUAUGCCC
rnacentral:rRNA from 1 species